rnacentral:rRNA from 1 species
AACGCGAAGAACCUUACCUACCCUUGACAUGGCUGGAAUCCUUGAGAGAUCAGGGAGUGCUCGAAAGAGAACCAGUACACAGGUGCUGCAUGGCUGUCGUCAGCUCGUGUCGUGAGAUGUUGGGUUAAGUCCCGCAACGAGCGCAACCCUUGUCAUUAGUUGCUACGAAAGGGCACUCUAAUGAGACUGCCGGUGACAAACCGGAGGAAGGUGGGGAUGACGUCAAGUCCUCAUGGCUCUUAUGGGUAGGGCUUCACACGUCAUACAAUGGUACAUACAGAGCGCCGCCAACCCGCGAGGGGGAGCUAAUCGCAGAAAGUGUAUCGUAGUCCGGAUUGUAGUCUGCAACUCGACUGCAUGAAGUUGGAAUCGCUAGUAAUCGCGGAUCAGCAUGUCGCGGUGAAUACGUUCCCGGGUCUUGUACACACCG